UACGAAGGGGGCUAGCGUUGUUCGGAAUUACUGGGCGUAAAGGGCGCGUAGGCGCCUUGUCAGUCAGAUGUGAAAGCCCCGGGCUCAACCUGGGAACCGCAUUUGAUACUGCAAGGCUCGAGUUCCGGAGAGGAUGGUGGAAUUCCCAGUGUAGAGGUGAAAUUCGUAGAUAUUGGGAAGAACACCGGUGGCGAAGGCGGCCAUCUGGACGGACACUGACGCUGAGGCGCGAAAGCGUGGGGAGCAAACAGG
rnacentral:rRNA from 1 species